rnacentral:rRNA from 1 species
UACAGAGGUCUCAAGCGUUGUUCGGAUUCAUUGGGCGUAAAGAGCGUGUAGGCGGCCAUGCAGGUCCGCUGUGAAAACUCGAGGCUCAACCUCGAGACGCCGGUGGAAACCGUGUGGCUAGAGUCCGGAAGAGGAGAGUGGAAUUCCUGGUGUAGCGGUGAAAUGCGCAGAUAUCAGGAAGAACACCCGUGGCGAAGGCGGCUCUCUGGGACGUGACUGACGCUGAGACGCGAAAGCGUGGGGAGCAAACAGG